ACAAUUCUAGCCCCGAAAACACAUGAAACUGGAUCCUGAACAAGGGCCCUGAGUGUGAAACUAGAGCCGGGCUCCAGGCAACCCGCUAGGGGGCACACCCCUCCAGGACGGCUGGAGGGAAGGUGCUGCGAGGCCCCGCCUCCUUCGAUUCAGCCUCAGUUUUCAGAGGAGGGGCCUCAAGGCUGUGGCCUCACUGAGCUUGUAGGCGUCGGAAGCUUGGAGGCCCUGCGCACCGGGUAGUGGCGGCCAGCGGCCCCCUCUGCGCGUUGACUGCAGGGAGGCGGCGGCCGGGCCGGACAGCCUGGGUGGAAAUGGAUGGACUGCGGAUCUCGCGCACCAGCUGAUCCUGAUCGUACAUGCCCGCUGGUGGGCAGCACGGAGCCGGGGGUUCCUGGCAGGUGGAGGCGGGGACCAGGGCACGGGGGAUGAAGAAUCCCAGGAGGGGCGGCCAUUGGAGCAGGGAUUGGGUGCACCUAGGAAUGUCUCCCGAGUCGUGGGGUCGCGCGCUACUGAGCUCCUUUCCAUGCUGGGAUUUCACUGCCGUUUCUUAAGAUCUGUUCCAUAGUGGGCAUGACCCAGAAUCCGGCUGUUAGGAUCAUCUUGAGCAGAUCCCAAAUCCCAUUGGCUUCAGGUAGGGCCAGCUCCAGCUCACGGCUGUCCUGGAUGCUGCGAGGGGCCUGCCUGAUUUCCCUGCCUUCUCUCAUGGGACCAGAAUGUGCUUCUCUUGUGGGGACACAGAUUAAAGCUGGAGGAGACUUACAGCUUGGAGUCUUUUUUUUUGAAGUUUAGGACUGGUGUGUUUAAGGAAGCCAAGGCCAACUUUCCUGGAAUGUUAAUAAGAAGUGUGUGUCCAAGGUCAUGCACAGAAACCUUGCAAGGGGACUAGUGAAGAAGGCACAGAGGCAGUGUCUGUGCUCAGGACUGCCUGGGCCACAGAACAGAACCCAGACUUCAUGGACGGUCCUUUUCUUCUCUUCCUCCAGCACCACAAAACUGGCAGCAUUUUGUUCUGUAGUGGGUUCUCUUCUCCAUAAAAAGGCACGGUUGCUGGCCAUGUCCUCCCUUCCCCUUCUGCCUACCUUGCCUUGAUUUAAAUCUUGAGUGACCAAAUCAGUGUAGCAAUUUGCAUGGCAAAAUAAAAUAUGUGCACUUGGGUGGUUUGUGAAUGUUUCUUGGGAGCAUUCCACAGCUGCUUGAACAACUGAGGCUUUGGAUGUGUGAUGUUUGGGGCUGAUGCUUGUUUUGCAAUAUUUGAGGUGUCCUUGAGUGGUUCUGCCCUCCCUCUAUAAUCUGGGAUGGCUCCCCUCUCAGACUGUGCUUACUAUUUGUGGGUGUUUUUGGAGCAUCUCAGGGAUCCAUGGACCAGUCCUCUGCUCUUCUGUCCUGGGAUCACAUCAGAGCUCUGCUGCCCACUCCUGCCAACCUCCUCAGGAAAUGCCAGUGCCCAGGCCCUGUGGCUCACAAAGCCAGAGAUCUUGACAUAUUAACCCUGUAGCCACCCAGGGUCUGUCUCUUCAACAAUUGAGGCAGUAUCCCUCAGUGUCUUCUUCAGUGCCACACACAGCCCUGCAUGUUCCAUAUCUCAGAGAGUCCCUUGUAGAAAUAACUCAGGUACACAUCCAGGCCUUAGCAAUGAGCUUUGGGACUGGGUUAGGAGAUGGUACUCUGAAGCAGAAGCCUGCGGCCCUCUCCAUCUCUGUCCCUGGAAGCACACACCAAACUCUGCCUAGUUCUCCUGAAGCCCCCAAGGAAACCCUCACAUACUCACCAGCUCCUGGGAACAAUGGCCCGUGUUUAUCACACAUGCUCCGAUGUGGCUCAGGCGUAUCUCUUGCUAAAGAAAAGAUCUCCCUACAUUAAUGUAUAUUUUGAUUACAAAAGAAUAUGUGUCGUGGCAGAAAUUUGGACUAUAGAAAAUAUGAAUAAAAUUGAAGUUGUCCACAGAUCUGUGGCCACGCACUGAAGAAGUUCUCAGACAGACGUGAGCGGACAUGCAGGGCUGCCUCUGGGAGACAGCAGCAGCCACAGCAGCCUGCACACAGCCUUUAUUUCCUAUCUCAUUAGAUAGAAGUAUCAAAGAAGAUCACAGCAUGGAAAGAGGGCACAGAGGAUCUUUAGACAUUAACCAGACAUGCACCUGGUGGCUACGUGAAGGCAGGCAGGGAGCAUAUCUAGUUUCAAGGAGUGUCAGGGAGUUAUAGCAGGUUUUGUAUCUUAACUGUCCCCUGGGGGAUCAUGAGGCUCUGUAUCUCAUAAUGCUAUUACCUUCAACAGCCUUUAGACCAGAACCUUGCUGACAGUUCAGCUAUCCCCAUUCACCCUCCAGGACAUAUAAUACAUUCUCUAGAAAUAACUCCACACAAAUCCACACCCAGCAAUCACUACUGUUGAUGGUGAGAUGUGUAUAUUUUUAUAUAUCCCCUUCCUUGGGGAAGGUCAUUGAAAAGGCAUGACUGCCAGUUGACCUGUGAGCUGGACCCAGGCCCUGAGAGGCUCCACACACUCUCUCCCCUGUCCUGGGUAUGUGGGUUUCACUUACCUUUCCCACUUGCAGAGACUGCUCCAAGGACACGGUUUUGAGACUGAUGUGGCGUGGAAAAUACCUGCGUGGUGUAUGUGACUGAACUCAGUUAAGGUCUCUUUAGAAACUUUUUAAGAUUUGGUGGGUGGGUACUGGGAUCCAUUCAUCUUGCUGCCACCCAAUACAAGCCAAGCUUAAUGAAACUGCCACCUGUCUACCAA